GCCCGGGUGGCGGAAUGGCAGACGCGAUGGACUCAAAAUCCAUUGGGGGCAACCUCAUGAGAGUUCGACUCUCUCCUCGGGCACCA
rnacentral:tRNA from 1 species